rnacentral:rRNA from 1 species
UACGUAGGGCGCAAGCGUUAUCCGGAAUUAUUGGGCGUAAAGAGCUCGUAGGCGGUUUGUCGCGUCUGCCGUGAAAGUCCGGGGCUCAACUCCGGAUCUGCGGUGGGUACGGGCAGACUAGAGUGAUGUAGGGGAGACUGGAAUUCCUGGUGUAGCGGUGAAAUGCGCAGAUAUCAGGAGGAACACCGAUGGCGAAGGCAGGUCUCUGGGCAUUAACUGACGCUGAGGAGCGAAAGCAUGGGGAGCGAAGGGG